ensembl:lncRNA
AAUUGCUUUACGACACACCCUACAAUAGGUAUCCUUUAUGUUUAAAAGUACGGCCAGUUACGCAGAAGUCUCUAAGAUCGCGGCUGUGUAUCAGAGCGCUGUGUAAUUUUAGGCGAAUCGUCGAUUCUCGUUUUAACUCACCUUUAAAGCUUUAUAUAUUAUUUUUGAGAAUACUUCAAAGAGGAGAUGGCUGUCUGUCGCAACAGUGAUGCUGACAUUGUGUCUAUCCCGGACAUCGUAGACGAAAUCAGGUUUCUGAACAAGGCAAGCGGGUCGAACACAGAAGUCCCGCGAGUCAGGUUUGAAAACCCCGUGCUGGGUGGACUUGAGCAGUAACUUUGAUUGGCAGAGGCAGCUGUGCUAAUACUGGGACGUGGAUCUGGAUAAGUGCGUGGCCAGAAUGGCUCUGUAUCAGUACGUCUACGGAUAUGAGUACCCGGGAGCCUGUCUGCGUCUGGUCAUCAUCCCGCUCACAGUAAAGACGUGUUAACAAUACAUUAAGAAUUCAUAAUGUAGUGUAGUGCAUGUUAUUAUAAUAAUAUUUAUUUAAAUACUAUGCAUAAUGCAUUACGGAGGCUUUAUAACAUGCUUCGAAUGCGUUUAUCGCUCAUUAUAGGCAUGAAAGUGUGAAGUCUUAAAGAUACGUUCGUGUGUGACCUUUCCAUCAGGAACGCGUUUAAUGUAAAAAAAAAAUCUUCUUGGAAAUGACAUGCUUGUGCUUGUUUGUGAUGGUUUUUAGGACCGGUGCUAUCUGUGUCUGAUGGGUAACACCUCGAAUAACAGGUGUGUAGAAGGUGUGAGCUUGAUCCUUUCACCGUUAGCCAGACAGAGCGUCUUGUUGUUGUCCAACACGGGGGUAAUUUUCUCAAUCCACAGGCACGUCCACAGGUACGUCACUCACCACCCACUUGUGCGUGUCGGCGGUGUCACUGCCGAGGGACGGUUUGAUGGCACUCCACUCCAGUGUGAGAGGGUCGUCUUCACCAUACAGCUCGUCCAUGCUCACUGACUGUGGGUUGAGCACGUCGGUCUCGAUGGGCUUGUAGAAGGGAUUCACCUCACAGCCCUCUGUCUCGUGGAGGGUGCGCAGUGCGUCAGCGAGGGCACGGUACGCCGUGGUCUAACCGCCUCUUGUAGGGCCCACCAGCAAGACGCCCUGGUGCACCAGCAUGGUCUCGUACAGCUGGAUCACCUUGGCGGUCAUGCUGGAGACGGGCUGCAGGGAGCGGGCGCAUAGAGCUGCCUCGAUGUUCGACUGAAGCGCGCCGUAGUCAUGCUCGGGGACGCCCACACAGGAAAGAGGUCCGACAGAAUACCGCUAAACGCACACAAGAAAGAUUGGAUUGACUCGAUUGACACUAGGUUCAAGAUUUUCAGAUUAUGGAUGUUCAGAUGUUCCAGGAUUCUUUACUUUUCA